rnacentral:misc_RNA from 1 species
GAUGAAGAACGUAGCGAAAUGCGAUAAGUAAUGUGAAUUGCAGAAUUCAGUGAAUCAUCGAAUCUUUGAACGCACCUUGCGCCCUUUGGCUAUUCCGAAGGGCAUGCCUGUUUGAGUAUCGUGAACACCUCAACUCUCAUGGUUUGCCAUGAUGAGCUUGGACUUUGGGGGUUUUGCUGGCCUUUGGUCGGCUCCUCUCAAACGGAUCAGCUUUCCAGUGUUUGGUGGCGUCACGGGUGUGAUAACUAUCUACGCCUGUGGUUUUCUGCCAGAUAACCUUCAGCGAUGGAGGUUCGCUGGGGCUCAUAAAUGUCUCUCUUCAGUGGAGACAGCUUUUUGGACGUUUGAUCUCAAAUCAGGUAGGACUACCCGCUGAACUUAAGCAUAUCAAUAAGCGAGGA